rnacentral:rRNA from 1 species
AUAAAUAGUUAUGAUCUUUAAACUUAAAAAAAUUGGCAGUGUUUAAAUCUAAUUAGGGGAAUUUGUUUUUAAAAUGAUAAUCCGCAAGAUACCUUAUUUUAAUUAAUUUAAUUUAUUUAUUGCCGUUAUUAGAUUGUUUUGUAAAAAAUUGGAAUGUUCAAAAAAUAUAUUACGUAUAUAUGUAUAUGUAUAUAUAAUUAUUUCAGGUCAUUAUGUAGUUAAUAUUAAAGUUAAAAUGAAUUACAAUAAAUUUAUAUUUAUAUGGAUAUUAAAUUGAAAUAUUUAAUUGAAAGUGGACUUAAUAGUAAAAAAUAAAAAUUAUAUUUAUUUGAAUUAAGGAAUUAAAU